rnacentral:rRNA from 1 species
AUACGUAGGGGGCGAGCGUUGUCCGGAUUUACUGGGCGUAAAGGGCGAGUAGGCGGUUUGUUAAGUCAGGUGUGAAAUUCCAGGGCUCAACUCUGGAACUGCGCUUGAAACUGGCAGGCUAGAGGACAGGAGAGGGAAGCGGAAUUCCCGGUGUAGCGGUGAAAUGCGUAGAUAUCGGGAGGAAUACCAGUGGCGAAGGCGGCUUCCUGGACUGAACCUGACGCUGAGGAGCGAAAGCUGGGGGAGCAAACAGGAUUAGAUACCCUGGUAGUCCCAGCCGUAAACUAUGAGUGCUAGGUGUGGGGGGCAACAACCCUCCGUGCCGGAGUUAACACAAUAAGCACUCCGCCUGGGGAGUACGGCCGCAAGGCUAAA